rnacentral:rRNA from 1 species
AUUGAACGCUGGCGGCAUGCCUUACACAUGCAAGUCGAACGGUAACAGGUCUUCGGAUGCUGACGAGUGGCGAACGGGUGAGUAAUACAUCGGAACGUGCCCGAUCGUGGGGGAUAACGAAGCGAAAGCUUUGCUAAUACCGCAUGAGAUCUAUGGAUGAAAGCGGGGGAUCGCAAGACCUCGCGCGAUUGGAGCGGCCGAUAUCAGAUUAGGUAGUUGGUGGGGUAAAGGCUCACCAAGCCGACGAUCUGUAGCUGGUCUGAGAGGACGACCAGCCACACUGGAACUGAGACACGGUCCAGACUCCUACGGGAGGCAGCAGUGGGGAAUUUUGGACAAUGGGCGCAAGCCUGAUCCAGCAAUGCCGCGUGCAGGAUGAAGGCCUUCGGGUUGUAAACUGCUUUUGUACGGAACGAAAGGGCUCUGGUUAAUACCUGGGGCAUAUGACGGUACCGUAAGAAUAAGCACCGGCUAACUACGUGCCAGCCGCCGCAGUAAGAC